rnacentral:rRNA from 1 species
AACUCCGCAGUUAAGCGUGCUUGGGCGAGAGUAGUACUAGGAUGGGUGACCUCCUGGGAAGUCCUCGUGUUGCACCCC